rnacentral:rRNA from 1 species
CAGUCGCCGCGGGAAUACGUAGGUCCCGAGCGUUGUCCGGAUCUAUUGGGCGUAAAGCGAGCGCAGGCGGUUAGAUAAGUCUGAAGUUAAAGGCUGUGGCUUAACCAUAGUACGCUUUGGAAACUGUUUAACUUGAGUGCAAGAGGGGAGAGUGGAAUUCCAUGUGUAGCGGUGAAAUGCGUAGAUAUAUGGAGGAACACCGGUGGCGAAAGCGGCUCUCUGGCUUGUAACUGACGCUGAGGCUCGAAAGCGUGGGGAGCAAACAGGAUUAGAUACCCCGGUAGUCCCUGUCUCUUAUACA